GGCUCCACAGUGUUGUGGUUAGCACGUCUGCUUUACAUGCAGAAGGUCCUAGGUUCGUGCCCCAGUGGAGCCA
rnacentral:tRNA from 1 species